UCCCUACGGGCGGCAGCAGUAGGGAAUAUUGCGCAAUGGACGAAAGUCUGACGCAGCAACGCCGCGUGGAUGAUGAAGCAUUUCGGUGUGUAAAAUCCUGUCGGUGGGGAAGAAAAGUAUGAUGAGUAACUGCUUCAUACCUGACGGUACCCACAGAGGAAGUCCCGGCUAACUCCGUGCCAGCAGCCGCGGUAAUACGGGGGGGACGAGCGUUGUUCGGAUUUACUGGGCGUAAAGGGCGCGUAGGCGGGUAUUCAAGUCGGAUGUGAAAACUACCAGCUUAACUGGUAGCCUGCAUUUGAUACUGUUGAUCUUGAGUACGGGAGAGGAGAGUGGAAUUCCAGGUGUAGCGGUGAAAUGCGUAGAUAUCUGGAAGAACACCAGUAGCGAAGGCGGCUCUCUGGACCGAUACUGACGCUCAAGCGCGAAGGCUUGGGGAGCAAACAGGAUUAGAUACCCGGGUAGUCGAG
rnacentral:rRNA from 1 species